CCUUCCGGUUGGGAGCCCAGGCCGGUGCUGGUGCCGUUACAGGCCCAAGGCCUCCGCAGCCCCCGCCUCUGUCGGCUUCUGGUGAAGGCCGCGAUUAAAACAUGGCGUUGCUGGCCUGCUCCCAGCCGUACGGCGUUGACAGAGUCCCUGCAGCCUCCGCUGGGGGAGGGAGGCUCUAGCAGCAGCCCCGGGAGCAGCCACCUGUGCGGGGGGGUUUCCCCUCUAUGGGUGUGCAGCGGCCUGCUGGAUCGAAAGGGGAGGAUUCUCCCAACUCGGGAGAAAAAGGGAAGCAGGAAAGCCCCGGAAGAUGUUCCUCCUCUCUACAGCGUUUGGUGUGAGGCUUGCUCAGUCUCCAAUCUCUGCGCAUUUCCUGAAUCCACAACGCCUUUUGGUGAGAGUCCCACAGGUUUGCCACCCUGCUCCUGAGAAACACGGACUUCAGCUGCUAGAAUGGAGACUUUGGCUUCGCCUCGCUGAGGCUGAGACCUAAAGGGAGUUCUUUUCAUUCCCUGCCGCUUCCAACCAAGUGCUUUUAUUAAAGACAGAGUAGCAUUGGUCUGGAACAGGAUACAUCCAGUCAGCAGAUAAAUGGAGGGCAAGCAGGAAGAUGUACUGGCAGGUACUCUUAGCACUAAUUUGAGAACUUGGCUAUGAAGAAAAAUCUAAGCUGAGGCGUACUGAAAUUAUCAAUUAGGACGUGAGAACCUGGUGCUCACAGAGACCGAGAGGAUGCUCGAAGCUUGGCCAAGAAAUAGAGGACCCUCAGGUCCCGUUCAGGGAUGC